UACGGAGGGUGCAAGCGUUAUCCGGAUUUACUGGGUUUAAAGGGUGUGUAGGCGGACUUUUAAGUCAGCGGUGAAAUCUCCGGGCUCAACCCGGAAACUGCCAUUGAUACUAUUGGUCUUGAAUAUUGUGGAGGUGGGCGGAACGGGUCAUGUAGCGGUGAAAUGCUUAGAGAUGACCCGGAACACCGAUUGCGAAGGCAGCCCACUACGCAAUGAUUGACGCUGGAGGCACGAAAGCGUGGGGAUCAAACAGG
rnacentral:rRNA from 1 species